UUCAAACAUUAAACGCAAAUUCUUGUCCAUCAACCAACUUUUCUUAAAUCGAUUAUUGUAAUAGUGUCACCAAUUAUAUUCAAUUGUUUGCUUUGAAUUACAAACAUGUUCGUUCUCAUUGAUUUUUUUAAUGAACUGAACUUAUUGAAUCUUAAACGUAGAAUUUCUUAUGCAUACUGUCCAUCAUAAAAAUAGUCACAUGUGUUGUCUGACAAUAAGAUAAUUUAUGCUUAAAUUAAAACUAAAAUGCUUGUCUUGAUUUAUUCA
rnacentral:lncRNA from 1 species